rnacentral:rRNA from 1 species
GAUGAACGCUGGCGGCGUGCCUAAUACAUGCAAGUCGAGCGAACGGACGAGAAGCUUGCUUCUCUGAUGUUAGCGGCGGACGGGUGAGUAACACGUGGAUAACCUACCUAUAAGACUGGGAUAACUUCGGGAAACCGGAGCUAAUACCGGAUAAUAUUUUGAACCGCAUGGUUCAAAAGUGAAAGACGGUCUUGCUGUCACUUAUAGAUGGAUCCGCGCUGCAUUAGCUAGUUGGUAAGGUAACGGCUUACCAAGGCAACGAUGCAUAGCCGACCUGAGAGGGUGAUCGGCCACACUGAAACUGAGACACGGUCCAGACUCCUACGGGAGGCAGCAGUAGGGAAUCUUCCGCAAUGGGCGAAAGCCUGACGGAGCAACGCCGCGUGAGUGAUGAAGGUCUUCGGAUCGUAAAACUCUGUUAUUAGGGAAGAACAUAUGUGUAAGUAACUGUGCACAUCUGGACGGUACCUAAUCAGAAAGCCACGGCUAACUACG